GGCUUUAUAGUCAAUAUAUGAUAUUAGAUUGCAAUUCUAAAGUAGUGAUUUUAACUAAAGCUU
rnacentral:tRNA from 1 species